rnacentral:rRNA from 1 species
GAUGAACGCUGGCGGCGUGCCUAAUACAUGCAAGUCGAGCGAACAGACGAGGAGCUUGCUCCUCUGACGUUAGCGGCGGACGGGUGAGUAACACGUGGAUAACCUACCUAUAAGACUGGGAUAACUUCGGGAAACCGGAGCUAAUACCGGAUAAUAUAUUGAACCGCAUGGUUCAAUAGUGAAAGACGGUUUUGCUGUCACUUAUAGAUGGAUCCGCGCCGCAUUAGCUAGUUGGUAAGGUAACGGCUUACCAAGGCAACGAUGCGUAGCCGACCUGAGAGGGGGAUCGGCGACACUGGAACUGAGACACGGUCCAGACUCCUACGGGAGGCAGCAGUAGGGAAUAUUCCGCAAUGGGCGAAAGCAUGACGGAGCAACGCCGCGUGAGUGAUGAAGGUCUUCGGAUCGUAAAACUCUGUUAUUAGGGAAGAACAAAUGUGUAAGUAACUAUGCACGUCUUGACGGUACCUAAUCAGAAAGCCACGGCUAACUACGUG